rnacentral:rRNA from 1 species
UACAGAGGUCUCAAGCGUUGUUCGGAUUCAUUGGGCGUAAAGGGUGCGUAGGUGGCGAGUCAAGUCAGAUGUGAAAUCCCGGGGCUCAACCCCGGAACUGCAUUUGAAACUGCCUUGCUCGAGUACUGGAGAGGAGACUGGAAUUUACGGUGUAGCAGUGAAAUGCGUAGAUAUCGUAAGGAAGACCAGUGGCGAAGGCGAGUCUCUGGACAGUUACUGACACUGAGGCACGAAGGCCAGGGGAGCAAACGGG